AUUGAACGCUGGCGGCAUGCCUUACACAUGCAAGUCGAACGGCAGCACGGUUGCUUGCUCCUGUUGGCGAGUGGCGAACGGGUGAGUAAUACAUCGGAACGUACCUUUUCGUUUUGGAUAACGCAGCGAAAGUUGCGCUUAUACCCCAUACGCCCUGAGGGGGAAAGCGGGGGACCGUAAGGUUUCGCGCGAUUAGAGCUGCCGAUGUCUGUUUAGCUUGUUGGUGAGGUAAAAGCUCACCAGGGCGAUGAUCAGUAGCUGGUCUGAGAGGACGAUCAGCCAAUCUGAGAGUGAGACACGGCCCAGGCUCCGAGGGGAGGAAGCGGGGGGAAAUUUUGGCAAAUGGGGGAAACCUUGAUCAAGCAAAGCCGGGUGAGUGAAGAAGGCCUUCGGGUGGUAAAGCUGUUUUGUCGGUGAAGAAAGAGCGGCUCUAACACAGUGUGCGAAUGACGGUACCUGAAGAAUAAGCACCGGCUAACUACGUG
rnacentral:rRNA from 1 species